AGACCGAUAGCGAACAAGUAGAGUGAUCGAAAGAUGAAAAGCACUUUGGAAAGAGAGUCAAACAGCACGUGAAAUUGUUGAAAGGGAAGCGCUUGCAGCCAGACUUGCUUACAGUUGCUCAUCCGGGUUUCUACCCGGUGCACUCUUCUGUAGGCAGGCCAGCAUCAGUUUGGGCGGUAGGAUAAAGGUCUCUGUCACGUACCUCCUUUCGGGGAGGCCUUAUAGGGGAGACGACAUACUACCAGCCUGGACUGAGGUCCGCGCAUCUGCUAGGAUGCUGGCGUAAUGGCUGUAAGCGGCCCGUCUUGAAACACGGACCAAGA
rnacentral:rRNA from 1 species